UUUCGGGUCGGAAAACUAACGAAAAAGCGCCCCGCAGCCCUCUCCUUCCACCUCUUUCCGACUUCCAGGGAAACUACAAGACUUUGCCCGAGAGGAAGGGGGUGUGGGGAGGCUCCCUUCAGAAGCAAAAAGUCCCGGCAAACAGCGAGGGCACAAAAGGGUCCCUCGCGCGGCGCUCCGCACCCCCUCUCGGUUCCCCGGGCGGGUCCCGUGGCGAGGGGUGGGCUAGAAAGUGUGAAAAGCCCCGCCGGCGCCGGAAAGCGCGUCCGGGGGCCUCUGCGAGGCCGCCCGGCUCUUCGGGAGCUCCGAGGGGCCCUGCGGGCCUCGCGGCGGACAGCGAGGGCGAGUCCCGAGGUCCGAGAGCGCCGCGACCCGCCUUGGCCCCUGAGGGGCCCCGCCGGGAGGACUCGGGCCAGACCCGGAGAAGCCGCUGACCACCCCGCCCUGGUCGUCGUCCACGUCCGCUCGGCCCGCGCGGCCCCGCGCUGGACGUGCCCGCCCCGGGCACCCAGCCCCUUCCGUCCGCCCCCGCCCCGGGAAGUCCCCGGCCCCGAGCCCAGCCGCCGCCCGGGGAGGUGUGGGCGAGCGCGCUGGAAGGAAACCGCGGCGGCCCGGCCCCUGGACGUGUCCGGGAAGGAACGCGGACUUUCUCUCAUUCCACAAGUCUUCCUUGUGUACACCCAGGGAGUCAGGCUUCACCGGUGACAAAGGGAAGACCCCGCUUGCUCCCUCGUUCAGCCUCACUCCAUUCAUCAGGAAGUGAUCCCACGGGGCAAGCUUUGCCCUAUUCCAGGUUUGGCCAAGGACGCAAGCUCCUGCGGUCUGUUUCCUGUGUCCUCUGAUGUAGCUCCAUCUUUCUUUGAGCACUUCCUUGUUGUCUGGCAAAAGAAGACUUUCCAGGCUCCUUUCAUCCUUUCUCAGCCUCAGCGCCUGACUCCGCUAUUUCUCCAGGGACCCCACCCAGUUCCUUUUUGUGGGCAAGGAACGGUAUUUAUAAACUGGCAUUUGGGCACUUAGGUGGACUCAUCGCUCUAGGAGGGCCAUCCCAGCCCUCCUAGUGAACAUAUUUACCUGCAUAUGUCUUUCUUGGUCUCAGGAAUUCCUUCACGUCACACCCAGCAUCACAGCAUUCACUCCAGUCUUCUUCCUUUUCGUGUUUGUUCACUCCCUUCUCGACCUGGGAGAAAACUGACUCUCCUUGUCCUCACUGUAUUUAUGUGUGUAAUCAACACCUGGGAAUGUAACCAACAAGGCUGCAGAGGCGCCUUCCCUGAUGGUACCACCCACCCCCACGUGGCCUGCAUGCCUCAUGCCUGGCCUACCCCCUCCUCUCGGAGGGCUCCCACAUCAGGGGCCACCCCCUGAGGACAACAUCCUCGUGUUGCCCAUCUUCCUCUCCAUCCAAGCACACACCUCUCUUACCCUCCUUGGGCUCUGAUGUUCCACGUCCCAUGCCGGGGGUGGGGUGGGAGGAACUACCCCUCUGUGUGGAUGCCGCCAUCUGCCCCCGGGCUAGGACUCUGACCCUCACACCUGCAAGGGCAGCAUUUCUCCCAGCUUCAGUGAAUCUUGUUCACCUCUUGGUAACCUUGUUAAAAAUGCAGACUACAGGGUCCCGCUCCCAGAGGUUGUGUAUGACUCAGUCGAUUGACACGAGAUGAUGAAAUCCGCAGCCUCAAAAGCUGCUUCUGAUGCAAGUGGUCUGAGCGACAAUUUCAGAAAUUCCAUUUUCAUCUGGAAUUAUAGGAUCAAAAAAUAAAGCACAU
ensembl:lncRNA